rnacentral:rRNA from 1 species
UACGUAGGGGGCAAGCGUUGUCCGGAUUUAUUGGGCGUAAAGAGCGUGUAGGCGGCUAUACAGGUCCGCUGUGAAAACUCGAGGCUCAACCUCGAGACGUCGGUGGAAACCGUAUGGCUAGAGUCCGGAAGAGGAGAGUGGAAUUCCUGGUGUAGCGGUGAAAUGCGCAGAUAUCAGGAAGAACACCCGUGGCGAAGGCGGCUCUCUGGGGCGGUACUGACGCUGAGACGCGAAAGCGUGGGGAGCGAACAGG